UGGAGGUCUGGUGGACCCCAGUGAGUGGGCGUGGAUGUGAAUUAAAGCUGCAGGAGGAUGAGCAGCUCUUCAGCGUGGCCUACAUCUGUCACUGUCCAAAUCAAUAGAGAUGAUACAAGGAAACCCAGGCAAUCCUCUGGCCUCUGAUUGGCUCAGCCCUCUGGCCCCGCCCACACUCUGCCCUCCUCAUAUGUGAUAAAUGCGGCUGCACAGACCUCCACAUACAUUCACUCUGCAGGACACAAAGGUCAAAGGUCAUCUCCAGGGGAGCUGUGCUUUAUUUUUCCCACUCUUUCACUGGACCCUGAAGUAGCACCGGAAACUUUGUCUUUUGUUGUUUUUUUUUUUUUCACAGUAU